rnacentral:rRNA from 1 species
GGGGGCAACCCUGGCGGCGAGCGGCGAACGGGUGAGUAACACAUCGGAACGUACCCAAUUGUGGGGGAUAACACAUCGAAAGAUAUGCUAAUACCGCAUAAGUCCUGAGGGAGAAAGCGGGGGAUCGCAAGACCUCGCGCGAAUGGAGCGGCCGAUGUUCGAUUAGCUAGUUGGUGGGGUAAAGGCCUACCAAGGCGACGAUCGAUAGCUGGUCUGAGAGGACGACCAGCCACACUGGAACUGAGACACGGUCCAGACUCCUACGGGAGGCAGCAGUGGGGAAUUUUGGACAAUGGGGGCAACCCUGAUCCAGCCAUUCCGCGUGAGUGAAGAAGGCCUUCGGGUUGUAAAGCUCUUUCGGCAGGAACGAAAAAGGUGCGGCUAAUACCCGCACUCCAUGACGGUACCUGAAGAAGAAGCACCGGCUAACUACGUGCCAGCAGCCGCGGUAAUACGUAGGGUGCGAGCGUUAAUCGGAAUUACUGGGCGUAAAGCGUGCGCAGGCGGUUUUGUAAGACAGCUGUGAAAUCCCCGGGCUCAACCUGGGAACUGCGGUUAUGACUGCAAGACUUGAGUGUGGCAGAGGGGGGUGGAAUUCCACGUGUAGCAGUGAAAUGCGUAGAGAUGUGGAGGAACACCGAUGGCGAAGGCAGCCCCCUGGGUCAACACUGACGCUCAUGCACGAAAGCGUGGGGAGCAAACAGGAUUAGAUACCCUGGUAGUCCACGCCCUAAACGAUGCCAACUAGGUGUUGGGAAAGGAGACUUUCUUAGUGCCGUAGCUAACGCGUGAAGUUGGCCGCCUGGGGAGUACGGUCGCAAGAUUAAAACUCAAAGGAAUUGACGGGGACCCGCACAAGCGGUGGAUGAUGUGGAUUAAUUCGAUGCAACGCGAAAAACCUUACCUACCCUUGACAUGUCAGGAAUCCCGGAGAGAUUUGGGAGUGCUCGAAAGAGAACCUGAACACAGGUGCUGCAUGGCUGUCGUCAGCUCGUGUCGUGAGAUGUUGGGUUAAGUCCCGCAACGAGCGCAACCCUUGUCAUUAAUUGCCAUCAUUUAGUUGGGCACUUUAAUGAGACUGCCGGUGACAAACCGGAGGAAGGUGGGGAUGACGUCAAGUCCUCAUGGCCCUUAUGGGUAGGGCUUCACACGUCAUACAAUGGUCGGUACAGAGGGUUGCCAACCCGCGAGGGGGAGCCAAUCCCAGAAAGCCGAUCGUAGUCCGGAUUGGAGUCUGCAACUCGACUCCAUGAAGUCGGAAUCGCUAGUAAUCGUGGAUCAGCAUGUCACGGUGAAUACGUUCCCGGGUCUUGUACACACCGCCC